rnacentral:rRNA from 1 species
GACGAACGCUGGCGGCGUGCCUAAUACAUGCAAGUAGAACGCACAGUUUAUACCGUAGCUUGCUACACCAUAGACUGUGAGUUGCGAACGGGUGAGUAACGCGUAGGUAACCUGCCUGGUAGCGGGGGAUAACUAUUGGAAACGAUAGCUAAUACCGCAUAAUAUUAAUUAUUGCAUGAUAAUUAAUUGAAAGGUGCAAUUGCACCACUACCAGAUGGACCUGCGUUGUAUUAGCUAGUAGGUGAGGUAACGGCUCACCUAGGCGACGAUACAUAGCCGACCUGAGAGGGUGAGCGGCCACACUGGGACUGAGACACGGCCCAGACUCCUACGGGAGGCAGCAGUAGGGAAUCUUCGGCAAUGGACGAAAGUCUGACCGAGCAACGCCGCGUGAGUGAAGAAGGUUUUCGGAUCGUAAAGCUCUCUUGUAAGAGAAGAACGGGUGUGAGAGUGGAAAGUUCACACUGUGACGGUAUCUUACCAGAAAGGGACGGCUAACUACGUG